rnacentral:rRNA from 1 species
AUGACGAUGCCCGGAUUCUGCCCGUCAAUGGCGGCUCCAUCUGCCGGCCACCCUCCCAUCUGCCUCGCCGACGCUUCAGGGGCAGCGGGAUCCCAAGACAUGCUGCGGCCACGUCUGGUGCUCUUCGGCGACUCCAUCACCGAGCAGUCCUUCCGCCCCGGCGGGUGGGGAGCGGCCCUCGCCAACACCUACUCCCGCAAGGCUGAUGUUGUUGUCAGAGGCUAUGGUGGGUACAACUCAAGAUGGGCCCUGUUCCUGAUCCAGCGCAUUUUCCCCCUGGUUGGGUUACCACCUGUUGCGACGACUAUUUUCUUUGGCGCUAAUGAUGCAGCGCUUCCAGGACGAACAAGUCAGCGGCAACAUGUUCCGGUUGAGGAGUAUAGACAGAAUCUCAAAACAAUUGUUAAUCAUCUGAAGCUGUCUCAGACUAGCUCUAACUCUGCCUGCCUAGAGGAUUGUUCCAAGUCCAUGGUAAUUUUGCUUAUCACUCCACCUCCUAUUGAUGAAGAUGGAAGAGAAAGAUAUGCACGAUCGCUAUAUGGAGAAGAUGCGAGAAGGCUCCCUGAAAGGACAAAUGAAAUGGUUGGUGUCUAUGCAGGUCAAUGCAUAGAACUAGCCAAAGAAAUGGAUGUUCACUGCAUUGAUAUUUGGUCAAAGAUGCAAGCAGCUGAAGGUUGGCAGAAACUUUACUUAAGUGAUGGACUGCAUCUGACGCCGGAAGGAAACGCCCUGGUCCACAAGGAGGUCGUGCAGGCCUUGAGAGGAGCUGGUCUGAAACCUGAAGAUAUGCCGCACGACUUCCCUCAUCAUUCCAAAAUCGAUGGAAUUCACCCAGAAAAGGCCUUCCAGUGA